GCAUUAAUGGGGUAGUGGUAACCUGGGUCGUUGCCAUAAACCGAUGAAGAAGUGUCGACCCGCCGGGGGUUCGAUUCCCUCUUAAUGCA